UAGGGUUCGAUUCUGGCUCAGGACGAACGCUGGCGGCGUGCUUAAUACAUGCAAGUCGAGCGAGGUUGCUGCGACAGAUUCCUUCGGGAUGAAGUUGCUUUAACCUAGCGGCGGACGGGUGAGUAACGCGUGGGCAACCUACCCUAAAGUCUGGGAUAACAGCGGGAAACUGCUGCUAAUACCGGAUAGCUUUAACUGGGGGCAUCUUCGGUUAAAGAAAGAAGCGAUUCGCUUUAGGAUGGGCCCGCGUCCCAUUAGCUGGUUGGUGAGGUAACGGCUCACCAUAGCAAUGAUGUCUAGGGGUUUUGAGAGGAAGGCCCCCCACACUGGGACUGAGACACGGCCCAGACUCCUACGGGAGGCAGCAGUGAGGAAUAUUGGACAAUGGAUGGAAAUCUGAUCCAGCCAUGCCGCGUGCAGGAAGACGGCCUUAUGGGUUGUAAACUGCUUUUAUACGGGAGCAAUAAGGGUUACGAGUAAUCCGAUGAGAGUACUGUAUGAAUAAGGAUCGGCUAACUCCGUGCCAGCAGCCGCGGUAAUACGGAGGAUCCGAGCGUUAUCCGGAAUUAUUGGGUUUAAAGGGUGCGUAGGCGGCCAUUUAAGUCAGCGGUGAAAUUUUGCAGCUUAACUGUAACAGUGCCGUUGAUACUGUUUGGCUAGGAUUUGGUUGUAGUGUGCGGAAUGUGUGGUGUAGCGGUGAAAUGCUUAGAUAUCACACAGAACACCGAUUGCGAAGGCAGCACACUAAGUCAUUAUGACG
rnacentral:rRNA from 1 species